UGGGGAAUAUUGCACAAUGGGCGAAAGCCUGAUGCAGCGACGCCGCGUGAGCGAAGAAGUAUUUCGGUAUGUAAAGCUCUAUCAGCAGGGAAGAUAAUGACGGUACCUGACUAAGAAGCACCGGCUAAAUACGUGCCAGCAGCCGCGGUAAUACGUAUGGUGCAAGCGUUAUCCGGAUUUACUGAGUGUAAAGGGAGCGUAGACGGUUUUGCAAGUCUGAAGUGAAAGCCCGGGGCUUAACCCCGGGACUGCUUUGGAAACUGUAGGACUAGAGUGCAGGAGAGGUAAGUGGAAUUCCUAGUGUAGCGGUGAAAUGCGUAGAUAUUAGGAGGAACACCAGUGGCGAAGGCGGCUUACUGGACUGUAACUGACGUUGAGGCUCGAAAGCGUGGGGAGCAAACAGGAUUAGAUACCCUGGUAGU
rnacentral:rRNA from 1 species